rnacentral:piRNA from 1 species
UAAGGAUGUUGGACUGAAUCUAUUGC